CUUUAGCGCGGAGUAGAGCAGUUUGGUAGCUCGCAAGGCUCAUAACCUUGAGGUCACGGGUUCAAAUCCUGUCUCCGCAA
rnacentral:tRNA from 1 species